rnacentral:lncRNA from 1 species
GGGAGCCCGGCGGACGCUGGGUCUGCAGAUGCCAUCCAGGCGCACGGCGGGUAUAGUGGUUCCGCAACCUUGGGAUGUUCGGCUGAGCGCCUGCCUAACAUGGGAGCGCCUGCCUAACCCUCCUGACUGGAGGGUCAGCGGCGGGGAGUCCUGGCCUUCAAUCGGCCAUCGCCACGGCAGAAACUGGGGCCCGGGCUGCGUCCAGGCCCUUCCCCGUCCGUCCACAGGUCUCAUGGGCGCCCGGACUGGGGCUGAUGUAGUUUCCCGACCUCUGACACAUAGGAUCUGGAGAUUAAAGCUGCUCUGCUAAUAAUUAGGUUCCCACCUCUCAAGAUCAUUAGGAGCUUCUUUUCCAAUUCCUCUGUUUUGCAUGCAUUGGAAGAUUCACAGGCUGCUCCCCAGAAUACUGAAGAAGAAACUCUAGGAGUGAGACCCAACAAUCUGUGUUUAACAAGUCCCCAGGCCCCUGGAUCCUCCUGGAAUCCCUGAUCCCUGUUGCUCCCUGGCGGAGUUUUCUAGUCCCUCUUACUUGAAGCAUGUCUUUCAGAGCCCGGCACCACCCAAGUUGGGUAUCUGAUACCCCAUCAGCCUGAGUCUCUUAAAGGCCUUUAUACACAUAUGUCUACACAUAGGGAUUUGGAUGAUCUCGGGAUCCCACAUCCUCGCUGUCCCCUGUCCCCCCACAACAUCCCACACCAAUACCUUUCUGAAGUUUUCUAGUCCCUCCUUUUUGUUUGUGGUCCUUAAAGCCCAGCCCCAUGCCUGACUUUGGUUCCCAGUGAGCAUUGUACAUUUGUGGAUAUUAAAUCUUUGGCAAAGUCAUUUACCUGGGCUGGAAUAGGGCUCUUGGCUGAUUCUUUUUCCUAAACACCCACCCAAUGGGAGAGGCUGAUACUCAACAUGCAAACCUUGUGUUUUAUUUCUCCAGGCGAAGGGAUGUUGGAAGACAUUCUGGAAGGGGUGGGGUGUGAAGAUUUACAAAUAAUCUUUGAAUAUCUGCUUCAUGAUAGGUCUUGGAGGUGCCUUGUGGGUGUGGCUUUGGGGGGAUGGUUACGAGGAAAUUGUGGAUAUUAAGGAAGUCAGGAAAGGAAAAGAUCAGUCACAAUUCAACAAUUCAGAGAAAGCUCCUAAGGGACUUUCUGGCUGCUUGAUGCCCAGAGGCCAGGCCCUCACUUCGUAUUAAGGCUCAGGACUGUGGAUAGAGAAUUUAAAGGGGCACCAAAAAAACAUUAAAAUAGAUAAACAUAUUUUUAAUGGAAUACCUUUAAAAAUGCAAAUCAAUGCACAAAGAAAACGCCCA